AGUGAACGCUGGCGGUAGGCCUAACACAUGCAAGUCGAACGGCAGCACAGUAAGAGCUUGCUCUUACGGGUGGCGAGUGGCGGACGGGUGAGGAAUACAUCGGAAUCUACUUUUUCGUGGGGGAUAACGUAGGGAAACUUACGCUAAUACCGCAUACGACCUACGGGUGAAAGCAGGGGAUCUUCGGACCUUGCGCGAUUGAAUGAGCCGAUGUCGGAUUAGCUAGUUGGCGGGGUAAAGGCCCACCAAGGCGACGAUCCGUAGCUGGUCUGAGAGGAUGAUUAGCCACACUGGAACUGAGACACGGCCCAGACUCCUACGGGAGGCAGCAGUGGGGAAUUUUGGACAAUGGGCGAAAGCCUGAUCCAGCAAUGCCGCGUGUGUGAAGAAGGCCUUCGGGUUGUAAAGCACUUUUGUCCGGAAAGAAAUCCUUGGCCCUAAUACGGUCGGGGGAUGACGGUACCGGAAGAAUAAGCACCGGCUAACUACGUG
rnacentral:rRNA from 1 species